rnacentral:rRNA from 1 species
GAUGAACGCUGGCGGCGUGCCUAAUACAUGCAAGUCGAGCGAACAGACGAGGAGCUUGCUCCUCUGACGUUAGCGGCGGACGGGUGAGUAACACGUGGAUAACCUACCUAUAAGACUGGGAUAACUUCGGGAAACCGGAGCUAAUACCGGAUAAUAUAUUGAACCGCAUGGUUCAAUAGUGAAAGACGGUUUUGCUGUCACUUAUAGAUGGAUCCGCGCCGCAUUAGCUAGUUGGUAAGGUAACGGCUUACCAAGGCAACGAUGCGUAGCCGACCUGAGAGGGGGAAAGGCAACAAGGGAACUGAGACACGGUCGAGAAGCCGACGGGAGGCAGAAGUGGGGAAUAUUGGAGAAUGGGCGAAAGCAUGAUCCAGAAAUACAGAGUGGGUGAAGAAGGCCUUAGGGUUGUAAAGCACGUUUGUUGGGAAAGAACAGAAGCAGAUGAAAACAUGGCUGGUCGGACGGGACCCAAAGAAAAAGCACCGGCUAACUUCGUG